GCCGCUCCCAUUGGCUGUCACAGCCGGGGCGCAGCAGCUGCUCCUGCAGGAUCGGGGCGUCCACUCCGUCACCUUUUCACUUUAACCCACAAGUUUAAUCCUCAUUUCAUACAGUCCGUGGUUUGAUCAGAAGGUUCCGGAGGCGGAAGGCGCCAUUUUAAAGUUCGCUCUGCUGGAUUCACCAUCUGAUCCUGAUUAACACCGACCCGGGAGGAGGAGGAGGAGGAGGAGGAGCAGCGGUCAGCUGAUCCCACAUCCUGUUUGGAUGUGAACUCUGUCAUUAGCUUCACUUUAGGUUUUACUGCUGUGGGUCGAUAGUGGAGCUGCAGAGUUUGUGUCCUCAGUCAGAUCAGUUAGGUGGAGUCAGACAGACACAGAGACAGGUAGGAGGACAGACAGGGGUACCUGAUGGGGAACAGUGCGCUGAAGUCUCACCUGGAGACCUCCCAGAAGACGGGGGUGUUCCAGCUGACGGCGAAGGGUCUGCAGGAGUUUCCGGAGGAGCUGCAGAGACUCACCGGCAACCUGCGGACGGUGGAUCUGUCCGGGAACAAGAUCGAGGUUCUUCCUGCCGCCGUCGGAAACUUCCUGCAGCUCAAGAGUCUGACGCUCAACUCCAACAGACUCAACUGCAUCCCCCCCGAGAUCUCCAAGCUCAAGAAGCUGGAGACUCUGAGUCUGAAUGGAAACCAGAUCCAGCAGCUGCCCCCCACUCUGGGCCAGCUCAAAGCUCUGCGGACCCUCAACCUGUCCGGGAACCAGAUCUCCGAGUUCCCCGCCGGACUGGGAACCCUGAGGCAUUUGGACCUGCUGGACCUGUCCCGCAACCAGAUCCGCAUCGUCCCCGCAGAGGUGUCGGAGCUGCAGGCCAUUGAGAUCAACCUGAACCAGAACCAGACUGUUCCUCUCCUCCAGAUCUCCGUGCUGUCGGCGGAGGUGUCUCGCUGUCCCCGUCUGAAGGUCCUGCGCCUGGAGGAGAACUGCCUGGAGCUGUCCUCCAUCCCGCAGUCCGUCCUGAAGGACUCCCAGGUGUCUCUGUUCUCUCUGGAGGGAAACCUGUUCGAGGUGAAGAAUCUCAGAGACCUGGAGGGAUACGACAAGUACAUGGAGCGUUUCACGGCCACCAAGAAGAAGUUUGCCUGAAGACGCUCAAUGACGAGUCUGAGCCUCAGUGCGUCACCUGGAGGCGGAGUCAGCCAAGACCCCACCCACCACAGCUUCUUCUUCUGCUGCUAAAAACAGACCUCACACAGCCGGGACAGUCCUCCUAACAGCCCCCCCACCCCCACCCAGGCUGCUGGACUGCGACAAAGAUAACAUACUAAAAUCUGCAGAUCUUCAGUGGAAAGAAGUAUUAGCAGCAGAAUGGGUUCAUUUAAUUUAAUGGGUUUUUAUUAUUCAUUUCCGUCUGAUCUCUUUAACAAAGUUUCAUCUGGAACAAUAAAGAUUUUAUAAGCUGA